rnacentral:rRNA from 1 species
GACGAACGCUGGCGGCGUGCUUAACACAUGCAAGUCGAACGGAAAGGCCUGCUUUCCCUUGUGGAUUGCGGGUACUCGAGUGGCGAACGGGUGAGUAACACGUGUGUGUUCUGCCCCCAACUUGGGUAUAAGCCUGGGAAACUGGGUCUAAUUCUCGAUAGGACUGCAGGGUGGUGCCUGUGGUGGAAAACGAGCUUUUAGUGGUUGGGGAUGAGCUCGCGGCCUAUCAGCUUGUUGGUGUGGUAAUGGACUACCAAGGCGGCGACGGGUAGCCGGCCGGGGAGGGUGGACGGCCACAUUGGGACUGAGUUCAGGCCCAGACUCCAACGGGCAGCAGCAGUGGGGAAGAUAGCACAAUGGGCGGAAGCCUGAAGCAGCGCGGCCGCGUGGAGGAUGACGGCCUUCGGGUUGUAAACUCCUUUCGACCACGAGGAAGCCACCUGGUUGGAAGGGUGGUGACGGUAGUGGUAGAAGAAGCACCGGCUAACUACGUG